rnacentral:lncRNA from 1 species
GUGUGAUUGAUGUAAAGCUCCCCGGCGCCGAAGCUGAAGGCGAGCGCGCUCCUUCAGGUUUGCCCGUUCCGCGGGCUCACGCGCUCUGCACGUGCUCAGGAGCCCGCUCGUCCUGCCAAAGCUCCGGGCGGGCUUGCGUUUCAAGGCACCGGGAAGCUCGGGGGGGGGCGGUAGCUGAAGCGGCCUCUCGAUGUAGGAUGUCUCCUCUUCGCCAAUGGCUCAGCGGCUCCUGGCGGGGAGGACGACGCGGCUGCCCUCCUGAGGCGACCGCCCUGGAGACGAGGCGGCGGUGGCUGCAGCAGCAGCAGCAGCAGCAGCAGCAGCGACGGCGGGUUUCCUACGGCAACUUCGUUCAGGUUUCCCCGGCGGCCGAGCGCCUGGUGGGCUCGUCCCUGCCCGGGCUUAUCCUGGAGCGCUGAGUCGGGGUUGGCGGAGAAGCGCGGCUCCAGCCCCCCCCUUCCCGUCCCCCGCUGGACCGGCCCGUGGAUUCGGAGCUCGCGCUGCGUCUCCGUCGCCUUUUUGAACGGGCGUCCGACGUCGCUUCUCCGAGCCUCCCUUUUGGAUGCGACUCCUGUUUCUGGAUCAACUUCCUCUUGCUCAUCACUUGGCAGACCCUUGUGGGAAAUUGGUGAAGAGGAAGCUGAAGGUGGAUUUUCAAAGGUAAAAGGCCUCUUAAUCAAAUUUUUUUUUCAUGGGUUGUGGCUGUCUUUAAGAGAGAG